rnacentral:rRNA from 1 species
GACGAACCGUGCGAACGUUAUUCGGAAUCACUGGGCUUAAAGCGCGUGUAGGCGGGGUGGCACGUCGGUCGCUGAAAGCCCCCGGCUCAACCGGGGAAGGGGCGCCGAUACGACCACCCUGGAGGGACGUAGGGGGACCUGGAACUUCCGGUGGAGCGGUGAAAUGCGUUGAGAUCGGAAGGAACGCCCGUGGCGAAAGCGAGGUCCGUGGACGUUUACUGACGCUGAGACGCGAAAGCCAGGGAGCGAACGG